GCCCUGUGACUUAAGAGUUUAACGGCCGCGGUAUCUUGACCGUGCGAAGGUAGCGCAAUCACUUGUCCUUUAAAUGAGGACCCGUAUGAAUGGCAUAACGAGGGCUCAACUGUCUCCCCCCUCCAGUCAAUGAAAUUGAUCUUCCCGUGCAGAAGCGGGAAUACCCCCAUAAGACGAGAAGACCCUAUGGAGCUUUAGACAUCAAGCAGCCCACAGAAAACAAUCUACACCAAUGGCUUCGAACAACGUGGAACCCUGCUGAACUGUCUUCGGUUGGGGCGACCGUGGGAUACAAAAAACCUCCCAUGAGGACCGGGAAAAACUUCCCAAAACCAAGGGCUACCGCCCUAAGCAACAGAAACUCUGACCUUAAUGAUCCGGCCCAUUGGCCGAUCAACGGACCGAGUUACCCUAGGGAUAACAGCGCAAUCCCCUCCUAGAGCCCCCAUCGACGAGAGGGUUUACGACCUCGAUGUUGGAUCAGGACAUCCUAAUGGUGCAGCCGCU
rnacentral:rRNA from 1 species